rnacentral:rRNA from 1 species
AUGAGGACAGCAACGCGGGGAGGGAGCGACGACGGCAACGACGAGCGACGGCGACGCGAGGAGGGCGGCGCGUCGACGGCAACGACAACCGACGGUCGAGUUGGGAAUAGGAACAGGUGUGGCAGAACGACAUCGACCUCCUCAAGCCGUCGGCGGGUCCAGAGAAGCUCAACUCAUUCCUCAUGGUGCGUUGUUAAACCUUGUCGAGGGAGGCGGUGGCGACUGGUGGUGCGAAGCCGAUCCUCCACAAGGGCUUCUCCAUGCUGCUACGCUCUCCCGUCGGUCUCUUCUUGCCUUCGCUCAGGCAGGCGCCGACGGGGCUGA